rnacentral:rRNA from 1 species
ACUCCUACGGGAGGCAGCAGUGAGGAAUAUUGGACAAUGGGCGGGAGCCUGAUCCAGCCAUGCCGCGUGCAGGAAGACUGCCCUAUGGGUUGUAAACUGCUUUUGUACAGGAAGAAACACUCCCUCGUGAGGGAGUCUGACGGUACUGUAAGAAUAAGGAUCGGCUAACUCCGUGCCAGCAGCCGCGGUAAUACGGAGGAUCCAAGCGUUAUCCGGAUUUAUUGGGUUUAAAGGGUCCGUAGGCGGAUUAAUAAGUCAGUGGUGAAAUCCCAUCGCUUAACGAUGGAACUGCCAUUGAUACUGUUAGUCUUGAAUGAGGGUGCAGUGGUUGGAAUGUGUAGUGUAGCGGUGAAAUGCAUAGAUAUUACACAGAACACCGAUUGCGAAGGCAGAUCACUAACCCUAAAUUGACGCUGAGGGACGAAAGCGUGGGGAGCGAACAGGAUUAGAUACCCUGGUAGGAUAG